CAGGCUUAACACAUGCAAGUCGAGGGGCAGCAUGGUCUUAGCUUGCUAAGGCCGAUGGCGACCGGCGCACGGGUGAGUAACACGUAUCCAACCUGCCGUCUACUCUUGGACAGCCUUCUGAAAGGAAGAUUAAUACAAGAUGGCAUCAUGAGUCCGCAUGUUCACAUGAUUAAAGGUAUUCCGGUAGACGAUGGGGAUGCGUUCCAUUAGAUAGUAGGCGGGGUAACGGCCCACCUAGUCUUCGACGGAUAGGGGUUCUGAGAGGAAGGUCCCCCACAUUGGAACUGAGACACGGUCCAAACUCCUACGGGAGGCAGCAGUGAGGAAUAUUGGUCAAUGGGCGAGAGCCUGAACCAGCCAAGUAGCGUGAAGGAUGACUGCCCUAUGGGUUGUAAACUUCUUUUAUAAAGGAAUAAAGUCGGGUAUGGAUACCCGUUUGCAUGUACUUUAUGAAUAAGGAUCGGCUAACUCCGUGCCAGCAGCCGCGGUAAUACGGAGGAUCCGAGCGUUAUCCGGAUUUAUUGGGUUUAAAGGGAGCGUAGAUGGAUGUUUAAGUCAGUUGUGAAAGUUUGCGGCUCAACCGUAAAAUUGCAGUUGAUACUGGAUAUCUUGAGUGCAGUUGAGGCAGGCGGAAUUCGUGGUGUAGCGGUGAAAUGCUUAGAUAUCACGAAGAACUCCGAUUGCGAAGGCAGCCUGCUAAGCUGCAACUGACAUUGAGGCUCGAAAGUGUGGGUAUCAAACAGGAUUAGAUACCCUGGUAGUCCACACGGUAAACGAUGAAUACUCGCUGUUUGCGAUAUACUGCAAGCGGCCAAGCGAAAGCGUUAAGUAUUCCACCUGGGGAGUACGCCGGCAACGGUGAAACUCAAAGGAAUUGACGGGGGCCCGCACAAGCGGAGGAACAUGUGGUUUAAUUCGAUGAUACGCGAGGAACCUUACCCGGGCUUAAAUUGCAGAUGAAUUACGGUGAAAGCCGUAAGCCGCAAGGCAUCUGUGAAGGUGCUGCAUGGUUGUCGUCAGCUCGUGCCGUGAGGUGUCGGCUUAAGUGCCAUAACGAGCGCAACCCUUGUUGUCAGUUACUAACAGGUUCCGCUGAGGACUCUGACAAGACUGCCAUCGUAAGAUGUGAGGAAGGUGGGGAUGACGUCAAAUCAGCACGGCCCUUACGUCCGGGGCUACACACGUGUUACAAUGGGGGGUACAGAGGGCCGCUACCACGCGAGUGGAUGCCAAUCCCCAAAACCUCUCUCAGUUCGGACUGGAGUCUGCAACCCGACUCCACGAAGCUGGAUUCGCUAGUAAUCGCGCAUCAGCCACGGCGCGGUGAAUACGUUCCCGGGCCUUGUACACACCGCCCGUCAAGCCAUGGGAGCCGGGGGUACCUGAAGUGCGUAACCGCGAGGAGCGCCCUAGGGUAAAACUGGUGACUGGGGCUAAGU
rnacentral:rRNA from 1 species